UACGUAGGGUGCGAGCGUUAAUCGGAAUUACUGGGCGUAAAGCAUGCGCAGGCGGUUCGUUGUGUCGGCGGUGAAAGCCCCGGGCUCAACCUGGGAAUGGCCGUUGAAACUGGCGAACUGGAGUGUGGCAGAGGGGGUGGAAUUCCGCGUGUAGCAGUGAAAUGCGUAGAGAUGCGGAGGAACACCGAUGGCCGAAGGCAGCCCCCUGGGCUAACACUGACGCUCAGGCACGAAAGCGUGGGGAGCAAACAGG
rnacentral:rRNA from 1 species